CCCUAAUGUUCCCUGAUUAAGAGGUGAUGACUACUCCACUCCACUACCAUCGUCAACUUUCUCCUGACAUGAACUGAAGCCACAAUGUCUCAUGUUUCUGCUCUUCUACUGGCACAUUGGAUGUUUCCCCUCUAAGCACUUCAAAUCCUGUCCUGCCCUGAAGUCAAUCCUCUGAACACCUCAACUCAUGCCUCAUACCCUCAUUCAAUCACUGCUGUGAUCCCUUUCCGACACGGUGGUCCUCCAUCCCUGUGACCGACAUGGUUGACGUAUGGACACUGGAGAGGACAUGGAUGUCUCGUUUGUCGUGCCAGCUGUUGACCAUUCUCCUUGAACUCAACCUCCCCCUCUGCAGCUUCCUGCUUCCGAAUCCCGGCAUACCCUUCCUGUUCGACCUGACUGUGCCACAGGUCCCUGUGCCGUUGGAGAGCAGAUGCUGGAAGACUUCUGUACCAAUUGUCCACAUACAAAGUGUCAGGUUGGCUGUAGCAUUGUUGAGGAAAUGCAGGCAUCACAGCAGAACUAGGAAGGUCUUGGGAAAAGAGAAGGGUGUUGCAAACAUCUGUGGGACCAGUAUUCCCUUAGGGAAUGAGAAGGACUAUCACCAGGAAGGUAUACAUUUCACUACUUGUAGUUAUCACCCAUUUAGUGAGUUUCCCCCUCACUCCUGGCUCUCUCUUCUCCUGUAGCUCCAAGGCAUAGUGAUUGGUCUCCUCUGCUAUGUCUCCCACCAGCUCCUCUGUCAGAAACAGCUUGAAGCACUCUGCCUCAGAUGGAAAUGGGAAGGGGAGUUGCUCUCCAGCCCGGGACUCAUCAAAGCAAACAGCAGGGCCAGGAGGGGUGAAAUGGCUGGUGGCCUUCCAGCUACCAUAUGUACUUCAUCCACUGUCGGUCUACCUCCAUCACCAAUAUCUUCAAAGGGACCUGGGACUUCGUCAGUGGACAAGGGGUCCUCAGAUUCAGGGUUCUCAAUGGCCAGAAGGUUGGGGGGGCAGCUCUUCACUGUCACUGUCAGAAUCAGAUUGCUGACUUUCAGACUCACAGCUGCACCACCGAGAGCAUCCUGACAGGAUGGAUCACCGCCUGGUAUGGCAACUGUUCAGCAUCUGACCGUAAGGCGUUACAGAGGGUAGUGCGUACGGCCCAGUACAUCACUGGGGCCAAGCUUCCUGCAAUCCAGGAGGAAAGCCCCAAAAAUUGUCAGAGACUCCAGUCACCCAAGUCAUAGACUGUUUUCUCUGCUACCUACAUGUACAAAUUGCCUUGACUAACCUGUACUCCUGCACAUUGUCUCGGUACCGGUACCCCCUGUAUAUAGCCUCGUUAUUGAUAUUUUAUUGUGUUACUUGUUAUUAUUUUUGAAUUUAUUGUAUUUGGUAAAUAUUUUCUGAACUCUUCUUGAACUGCACUGUUGGUUAAGGGCUUAUAAGUAAGCAUUCACGAUAAGGUCUACCCUUGUUGUAUUCGGCACAUUUAACAAAUAAAGUUUGAUAUGAUUUGGUAACUCAAUGUAAGAUUGCAUUACUCUAUUUUUUAUAACAUGAACAAUGUAUAGCUUUAAAAAAAAUUCUGAGUAGGCUUAUGUCUGAGUAGGCUUAUGUGUUGGGUCAAAUGUAGGGAUAAGUGGUGGUUUCGUUACCACAGAUUACACCUAGUCCGAGAACAGAAAUUAUUUUGGCUGGAGAUUUUUCAUUGAUCUUGCUUUUCAGUCCAGGACUAGGGUUAAUCUGUGUCUGGGAAAACCUC